GGCAAACAUAGAAAUUGAAUCAGAUCGCUCGAUCUCAUCUCCAUCAUGUGCUGUGACCUGUCUAAUCUGAGACCUACUCGGGAUAGCCUCCUGCAGUAAUAGAAACUUCAUCCUACGACAUCGUCUAUUAUCCUUUUGAGUCUCCCGUCUCAUACCUAAUCUAUCUGUACCUAGAGUUUUACCUCGCGCUGAGCUCCCAUUGGCACCUGAAGCUCUACCUCGCACUGAGCUCCCUACCAAGAGGUGGUGUUCUUUACACUUCUUUUCCUUCAUAACAAUCCUACUGUCAUGCAUAACCUUUAGGAUUCC
rnacentral:lncRNA from 1 species